AACGAACGCUGGCGGCAGGCCUAACACAUGCAAGUCGAGCGCUCCGCAAGGAGAGCGGCGGACGGGUGAAUAACACGUGGGAAUAUGCCUUUCGGUACGGAAUAACGCAGGGAAACUUGCGCUAAUACCGUAUACGCCCUCAGGGGGAAAGAUUUAUCGCCGAAAGAUUAGCCCGCGUAGGAUUAGCUAGUUGGUGAGGUAACGGCCCACCAAGGCAACGAUCCUUAGCUGGUUUGAGAGAACGAUCAGCCACACUGGGACUGAGACACGGCCCAGACUCCUACGGGAGGCAGCAGUGGGGAAUCUUGGACAAUGGGGGAAACCCUGAUCCAGCCAUGCCGCAUGAGUGAUGAAGGCCUUCGGGUUGUAAAACUCUUUCGCGCGCGACGAUAAUGACGGUAGCGCGAGAAGAAGCUCCGGCUAACUUCGUGCCAGCCGCCGCCGUAACAC
rnacentral:rRNA from 1 species